UUACGGGCAUAUCACGUUGAAACACAGGUUGUCAACCAAUCACCGAAGUUAAGCAAAGUUGAACCAGGUCGGUACCAAGAUGGGUGACCGCUUGAGAAUACCAGGUGAU